AGGAAUAUUGGUCAAUGGGCGAUGGCCUGAACCAGCCAAGUAGCGUGAAGGAUGACUGCCCUAUGGGUUGUAAACUUCUUUUAUAAAGGAAUAAAGUCGGGUAUGCAUACCCGUUUGCAUGUACUUUAUGAAUAAGGAUCGGCUAACUCCGUGCCAGCAGCCGCGGUAAUACGGAGGAUCCGAGCGUUAUCCGGAUUUAUUGGGUUUAAAGGGAGCGUAGAUGGAUGUUUAAGUCAGUUGUGAAAGUUUGCGGCUCAACCGUAAAAUUGCAGUUGAUACUGGAUGUCUUGAGUGCAGUUGAGGCAGGCGGAAUUCGUGGUGUAGCGGUGAAAUGCUUAGAUAUCACGAAGAACUCCGAUUGCGAAGGCAGCCUGCUAAGCUGCAACUGACAUUGAGGCUCGAAAGUGUGGGUAUCAAACAGGAUUAGAUACCCUGGUAGUCCACACGGUAAACGAUGAAUACUCGCUGUUUGCGAUAUACGGCAAGCGGCCAAGCGAAAGCGUUAAGUAUUCCACCUGGGGAGUACGCCGGCAACGGUGAAACUCAAAGGAAUUGACGGGGGCCCGCACAAGCGGAGGAACAUGUGGUUUAAUUCGAUGAUACGCGAGGAACCUUACCCGGGCUUAAAUUGCACUCGAAUGAUCCGGAAACGGUUCAGCUAGCAAUAGCGAGUGUGAAGGUGCUGCAUGGUUGUCGUCAGCUCGUGCCGUGAGGUGUCGGCUUAAGUGCCAUAACGAGCGCAAUCCUUGUUGUCAGUUACUAACAGGUGAUGCUGAGGACUCUGACAAGACUGCCAUCGUAAGAUGUGAGGAAGGUGGGGAUGACGUCAAAUCAGCACGGCCCUUACGUCCGGGGCUACACACGUGUUACAAUGGGGGGUACAGAGGGCCGCUACCACGCGAGUGGAUGCCAAUCCCUAAAACCCCUCUCAGUUCGGACUGGAGUCUGCAACCCGACUCCACGAAGCUGGAUUCGCUAGUAAUCGCGCAUCAGCCACGGCGCGGUGAAUACGUUCCCG
rnacentral:rRNA from 1 species